rnacentral:rRNA from 1 species
UACGUAGGGGGCAAGCGUUAUCCGGAUUUACUGGGUGUAAAGGGAGCGCAGACGGCAGUGCAAGUCUGAUGUGAAAGCCCGGGGCUCAACCCCGGAACUGCAUUGGAAACUGUACAGCUUGAGUGUCGGAGAGGUAAGCGGAAUUCCUAGUGUAGCGGUGAAAUGCGUAGAUAUUAGGAGGAACACCGGUGGCGAAGGCGGCUUACUGGACGAUGACUGACGUUGAGGCUCGAAAGCGUGGGGAGCAAACAGGAUUAGAUACCCUGGUAGU